AGCAAGGGCAAGGGGAUACAUUCAAAUAAAUCAUUGCAAGCCAUGAGUCCGGAUGGCUUAAAGCGUGGGAACGGCUAUCAAAAUAAACAACUAGUAUGUGUAAUUAUUAGAAAUAUUAGUUUCUAGAAUAAAAUAUCAAUUAAGAGCUACAUCCGAGAAACAGAAUGGAGAAGAAUGGAGUCGUAUUUGAAGUUAAUAUCAGCGAAGGAUAACAAGCUAAUGGCAUUUAAGGGAUCGGUUAAAGAAGAAAGGUGGUUUCGGAUCCUUAAUGAAUUGGAUAAUUUAUCAGUGCGAGCAGUCCAGGUGAUCAUGGGGGAAGAAGUUUAUAACUACGACCACAUUUAUCGGGGCGAUAUGAACCGCCACAGGGGAUAGAAGUCAUGACGGUUUAUGUCUUCAAUUCGGAUUGUGUUUACACACCAAGAAUGCUUAGUAACUCUGAUGCAUAAAAUGUUAUUUGUAUAGUCUCUCUGCAUGUUCUCCAAGAUGUAAUGUAUCAAGGAUCGAUCAUGUAAUUUUCAAGCACCAUUUAGCUGGGUGCAUGAGUAAGAAUUCGACAGGCAAAUAUGUGUGCCUAGUAUAAUUGUUUAGAUAGUUUAUAAAAUUUGUACCCGUUAUUAAUACUGGAUUGUAUGGUUUCUGGGCUGAUCAAGCUUCAGGUAAGACCAAAGGUUUUCUUGUUCGUUAUUUCUUACCGGUGCUCGCACAAACAGACUCAUGUAAAUUCUAUUUUAUAAAUAAUAAAUUUUUUGGUUU